UACGAGGGGUGCAAGCGUUGCUCGGAAUUAUUGGGCGUAAAGGGUAGGUAGGUGGUCUCAUUUGUCUGGGGUGAAAGCCUUGAGCUUAACUCAAGAAGUGCCCCGGAAACGGUGAGACUAGAGUUCUGGAGAGGGUCGUGGAAUUCCCGGUGUAGCGGUGAAAUGCGUAGAGAUCGGGAGGAACACCAGAGGCGAAGGCGGCGACCUGGACAGAUACUGACGCUGAGGCGCGAAAGCGUGGGGAGCGAACGGG
rnacentral:rRNA from 1 species